AUGUUCCUCAAAACGUGGGUGGAGAACAUUGACUUGGGGGGGAAAAAGGAGAGAGGAGCAAAAGCCCAAACCUUCGGAGGAGGAUCCUUCCCAAUAUUUUUUUGGAAAAAUGAUGGAAUUUUGAGCCAAGAGUGUUGGCUCCUCAACGUAUGGAUCUCCUCACCCCAAGGAGCUUCCCAAAGAUGCUCCUCAAAACCAAGAUGCAACCUCAAAACUCAACGUCGUGGAGAACGUGCUGUAAAAUUUAGGCAUAAACUUGGGGAAAAAAAGGGAGGGAGGAGCAAGAACCCAAAUGAAAACCACCUUUGGAGGAGGAUCCUUCCCAAUAUUUUUGGAAAAAUGAUGGAAUUUUGAGUCAAGAGUGUUUGUUCCUCAACGUAUGGAUCUCCUCACCCCCAAGGAGCUUCCCAAAGGAGCCAAGAUGCUCCUCAAAACUCAACGUGGGUGGGGAACGUUGACUUGAGGGGGGAAAAGGAUUGAGGAGCAAAAGCCCAAACCUUCCAAAGAGCAUCCUUCCCCGUAAUUUUGGAAAAAUGAUGGAAUUUUGAGCCAAGAGUGUUUGUUCCUCAACGUAUGGAUCUCCUCACCCCCAAGGAGCUUCCCAAAGAUGCUCCUCAAAACCAAGAUACAACCUCAAAACUCAACAUCGUGGAGAACGCGCUGUAAAAUUUAGGCAUAAACUUGGGGAAAAAAGAGACACAGGAGCAAGAACCCAAUUGAAAACCACCUUUGGAGGAGGAUCCUUUCUGGUAUUUUUGGAAAAAUGAUGGAAUUUUGAGCCAAGAGUGUUGGCUCCUCAACGUAUGGAUCUCCUCACCCCCAAGGAGAUUCCCAAAGGAGCCAAGAUGCUCCUCAAAACUCAACAUGGGAGGAGAACAUUGACUUGGGGGGGGAAAAGGAUUGAGGAGCAAAAGCCCAAACUUUCCUAGGAGCAUCCUUCCCAAUAUUUUGGGGAAAAUGAUGGAAUUUUGAGCCAAGAGUGUUUGUUCCUCAACGUAUGGAUCUCCUCACCCCCAAGGAGCUUCCCAAAGGAGCCGAGAUGCUCCUCAAAACCCAACACGAGAGGAGAACAUUGACUUGGGGGGGGAAAGGAGAGAGGAGCAAAAGCCCAAACCUUUGGAGGAGGAUCCUUCCCAAUAUUUUUUUGGAAAAAUGAUGGAAUUUUGAGCCAAGAGUGUUGGCUCCUCAACGUCUGGAUCUCCUCACCCCCAAGGAGCUUCCCAAAGGAGCCAAGAUGUUCCUCAAAACCCAACAUGGGAGGAGAACAUUGACUUGGGGGGGAAAAAGGAGAGAGGAGCAAAAGCCCAAACCUUUGGAGGAGGAUCCUUCCCAAUAUUUUUUUGGAAAAAUGAUG
rnacentral:lncRNA from 1 species